ensembl:lncRNA
AUCACCAGUUGCACUAAUUCCCAGUUCAAGGUCCCUGGAUCCCAACAGGAUUCAUGAAAGUAGUACAGGGGUUAGGAGAAUUUUGCUAAGUUAUAAACACUAUCUCCAAAUGUGAAAGAUAUAGUUAUCCAUAAUUAAAACUUCAAAUGUCAUUACUUUGGGUUAGAAUGACAUCAGAUUUUUCAUGGAGUCAUUGACUUCUUUUGCCAGUCAAGACUUCCUCUUGAUAGUUAGUUACAUUCUCAGCCAACCCAAACUGGCAAAAUGCAUUAUUAUUGAUAAGUGAAGUGGCUUUGAGGGCAUAGGAACCCUGGGGACAAAGUAAGUCAGAGGAGUUGGUGGUGGCCCCAGACCCUUUGAGCAGUGAUAGGCAGGUUCUGCAGAUGAAUUUAGACUUCAUCAUUGUCUUUCUUUGUCUGGAUCACUUUUUUGGCUACGGCUGUAGCGCCUUUGUUUACUGAGGCCGAAGAGAUGAAAGAGCAUGCCUGGAGUCACACAGACUUACACCCACUGUGGGUGCAGAGAUCAAAACCUGAGAUUAAACUUUGUUCUGAACACAGAGGCACAUUUCAACUGUGCAGAAGCAAUUCUGCCAUCUCUUGUGGUUCAGAGAGGAAAAUGGAAGAGGGUCAGCUCGGAGAAGAGGAUCUUAGAGAGCCAUCCUAGGAACCUUUGAAGAUCGGGUGGGCAGCCGCGUUCUUUGAAGUACCUGUGAUUCCAUGUGAUUUACUUUCUGAGGCAAGAACAAGCCGGUGGAAUCCAGCUGAAGAGAUUUUCCUCAAGCACGAACCCAUUUCAUCUUGCCAGGUUUUCCUUUAUUCACCACAAUGUUCAUUUCUUAUUUUUUGACCCUGGGCUUGAAUAUGUGUGUGUGGAUUCCUGUCAGUCCUGUUUCCUAGAUAUUUAGAGGGAAACACUUCCCAUCUUUCGUAAUCACCAGAAAUGACGGAAAUAAUGCAAACACACAGGUUGGUUUUCCUUUUACAACUCCUCCAACAUUCAGACAAAUGCUCCAUAUUUCUUAGUAUGUAUUUUCUGUAGCCACACUUAUUUCAUGACGUUUUUCCCCAGGGAAAUCAAAGUUCCCAUUUGAGGCAGCAAUCAUGAAGCCAUGGAGGCUUUUGUCAAAGACUGAUUGCUUCAAAAGCACUUAGAUCAACCUUUCACUGCCUCCACUGUGAGUGUAUGACUUACCACUUCUUUCUUUUUCUUUCCUUCGUUUUUUCUUUGUUUGUUUGUUUUUGUUUUUUGUCUUUUUAGGGUCAUAUCUCCGUUAUAUGGAGGUUCCCAGGCUAGGGGUUGAAUUGGAGCUGUAGCCACUGGCCUACACCACAGCCACAGCAAUGUGGGAUCCAUGCUGUGUCUGCAACCUACACCACAGCUCAUGGCAACACUGGAUCCUUAACCCACCGAGGGAGGCCAGGGAUCAAACUCCCGACCUCCUGGAUACUAGUCAGGUUUGUUACCACUGAGCCAUGGUGGGAACACCUGCUAUUUUAUUUCUAACUGUGUUCUCAGAAGUCCAGCUGACCAAGCUGGGUCAGGUGUGGCCAGGACACUCCUGCCUGGUGUCUCGUGGAGCUCUCUCAGGAGCCCAGGACCCCGUUCACAUGCCUCAAUCCCAUCUCAGAGGUCUGGGGUUUGGACGACCAGAUCCUCUGGGUGGCAAGGAAGCAGCUGCAUGGGAAGGAGUGCGGAGUUGGGUGGAGAGGCCUCAAACCUCCAGGACGGUCAUAGGCUCUUACCCCUUUCACAUCAGGAGCGACACUUGUCCCACUUGUUUUUCUAUCGAGCCAGGCCCACGAUGUCACAAGGAGAGAAGUGCCAAGGGCCCCACAUCCUAACACCGGAGCCAGCACUGACUUCAAGAAGACACCUGGAGAGGUGCUGGGACAGGAUGCAGUGAAGGGGAUAUGGCCCCCACAGAGACUGACUGCAAAUGGAGGGGGCAGGAAAGGCUUCUCAGAGAAAGGGGCUGGAGGAGGUGGGCGUUCUGCUAUCUUCGAUGGAAGGUCCAGGGCACUGGCAGCAGGAGACCCCGAAAGCUGUCGCCUCUCCACCUUGAACCUGGUGAACUAAAUCAAAUCCUUCCUUUCUCAGUCCGGGACCUGGCUUUUCUAUCCAGAGACUGAGGCUGGAGGCAGACUGGGCCAGCGGCCCCUCCAGUGGUGCAGGGCUGAUCCUGUGGGUGAGGCCAGUGGAGUUAAUUGUUUGUUGCAGAUAAGAUGUGAAAAGUGUCCCUUCCUGUUUCUGGCCCUGCAGCUCUCCAGGCAGGAGGGAUGAUUCCAGCCAGGGUUUCAGAGCCCAUGGUGACAUCCCUUUCUUUUUCUUGCCCUCCUCUAUUCUCCUGGAGCUUGAACUGAGAGAGCCUCGCUUUCUGCCUUGGCUUUGUCCUUGCCAUCAUUUAUGACAAUGGAAGGAAUUAUGUGUGUGGUGAAAACAGGACCAGGGACACCUUAGACUUCAGACCAGUCCAUUUGGAUCUGUAAAUUGAACUUUUUUCUACUUGCAUUUGAGUUCUUCAGAUGAAAGGCAUUUUUUUUUUUUUU